GCCCCAUGGAUACUACUUUCAGCCAUUGUGACGUGUUCUCUAGUCCAUCGGCAGUGUUGGGAGUGUCCCCAUAUGGCCGGGGAAGAUUCAUUCAUUCACCAAGGAGGCAUGCAACUCCAUACCACAGACAAGAUGGCCACCUAGGAUCCCCACAUAAAUACCCCACCUUCAGAGGAGAGGCCUUGAUUGCAUGCCUCACCACUCAUAGCAGAGGCAGUGCACUUUCUUGCCACUGCAGCAAGAAAGUAAGCCAUUUCAGACCACAGAGGGAAGACACAUGGGGACCAGCUCCACAGAUGUCCCACUCUGAGGCAGCACAGUUCCAUCUCGUGCUACCCACAUCAGGGCCAAUGUGUCUCCCAAACUCACCUUUGCCCCGUCCUGUCCCUGUUCAGGCAUCAAGUGUUAUGUGGCUUUUCCUGGGUUGCAUUUUUUCAUUUACUACCAGUGGGGCAACAACAGCCCAAGAAAGUGUUUCUACUCAAAUCUAAGCUGCAAGAGCCAAGGAUUUAAUUAGAGAAAUGUGCCCAAGCGUGGGCAACUUCCUGUCACCAGAGAAGAGUCGCCCCGCAACUGUUAACUGACUAUGUCCUCAGGGAGAGAAGGGGUCUCCAGAGCCUCAGGCGCUCAUGGGCUUCCUGUGCCCUUGAGCUCAGAGAGCCUCGCAAACCCUGUUUCCUAAUAUGAAGAAGUGUUCAUGGGCCCACUCCUGGAAGGAAGUGUCCAGCGCUCACAGAUGCUCUGACCGGAAGACACGGCAACAGCUGCAUCAUGCCAGAGGACAGAGUGCCACUGCAUACCAGAGUGACCCCGUGUCUGGGGAAGAAGGCAGACAUGAG
rnacentral:lncRNA from 1 species